GUCGAACGGCAGCACGGAGCUUGCUCUGGUGGCGAGUGGCGAACGGGUGAGUAAUAUAUCGGAACGUACCCUAGAGUGGGGGAUAACGUAGCGAAAGUUACGCUAAUACCGCAUACGAUCUAAGGAUGAAAGUGGGGGAUCGCAAGACCUCAUGCUCGUGGAGCGGCCGAUAUCUGAUUAGCUAGUUGGUAGGGUAAAAGCCUACCAAGGCAUCGAUCAGUAGCUGGUCUGAGAGGACGACCAGCCACACUGGAACUGAGACACGGUCCAGACUCCUACGGGAGGCAGCAGUGGGGAAUAUUGGGCAAUGGGCGAAAGCCUGAUCCAGCCAUGCCGCGUGUGUGAAGAAGGUCUUCGGAUUGUAAAGCACUUUAAGUUGGGAGGAAGGGCAGUAAAUUAAUACUUUGCUGUUUUGACGUUACCGACAGAAUAAGCACCGGCUAACUCUGUGCCAGCAGCCGCGGUAAU
rnacentral:rRNA from 1 species